CCUACGGGUGGCAGCAGUGGGGGAUAUUGCACAAUGGGGGAAACCCUGAUGCAGCGACGCCGCGUGUGGGAAGACGGUCCUCUGGAUUGUAAACCACUGUCCCCAGGGACGAAGAUGACGUUACCUUGGGAGGAAGCUCCGGCUAACUCCGUGCCAUCAGCACCGGUAAACUGCAGGGAGCCAGCGUCGUCGGGAAUUACGGGGGGUAAAGGGCUCGUAGGUGGGGGUGAAAGCCGAGGGUAAAAACUAGCGGCUAAACUGGGAUUCGCACUGGAAACUGCACCUCUUGAGUGAAGUAGAGGCAGGCGGAAUUCCGAGUGUAGCGGUGAAAUGCGUAGAUAUUAGGAGGAACACCAGUGGCGAAGGCGGCCUGCUGGGCUUUAACUGACGCUGAGGCUCGAAAGCGUGGGGAGCAAACAGGAUUAGAUACCCGUGUAGUC
rnacentral:rRNA from 1 species